rnacentral:rRNA from 1 species
UACAGAGGGUGCGAGCGUUGUUCGGAAUUAUUGGGCGUAAAGAGCUCGUAGGCGGUCUGUUACGUCCGCUGUGAAAACCCAGGGCUUAACCCUGGGCUUGCAGUGGAUACGGGCAGACUAGAGGCAGGUAGGGGAGAAUGGAAUUCCCGGUGUAGCGGUGAAAUGCGCAGAUAUCGGGAGGAACACCGGUGGCGAAGGCGGUUCUCUGGGCCUGACCUGACGCUGAGGAGCGAAAGCGUGGGGAGCGAACAGG